UACGUAGGGGCCUAGCGUUGUCCGGAAUUAUUGGGCGUAAAGAGCUCGUAGGCGGUUUGUCGCGUCGGCCGUGAAAACCUGCAGCUUAACUGUGGGCGUGCGGUCGAUACGGGCAUCACUGGAGUACUGCAGGGGAGACUGGAAUUCCUGGUGUAGCGGUGGAAUGCGCAGAUAUCAGGAGGAACACCCGGUGGCGAAGGCGGGAUCCUGG
rnacentral:rRNA from 1 species